UACAGAGGUCUCAAGCGUUGUUCGGAUUCAUUGGGCGUAAAGGGUGCGUAGGCGGCGCGGUAAGUCGGGUGUGAAAUCGUUGGAGCUUAACUCCGAAACUGCAUUCGAUACUGCCGUGCUUGAGGACUGGAGAGGAGACUGGAAUUUACGGUGUAGCGGUGAAAUGCGUAGAUAUCGUAAGGAAGACCAGUGGCGAAGGCGGGUCUCUGGGACAGUUCCUGACGCUGAGGCACGAAGGCCCAGGGGAGCAAACGGGG
rnacentral:rRNA from 1 species